rnacentral:ncRNA from 1 species
ACAACGGUCCUUUUAAGGACCACACAAAUCUUUCAAAAAGAUAUUCG